rnacentral:rRNA from 1 species
GAUGAACGCUGGCGGCGCGCCUAAUACAUGCAAGUCGAGCGAACAGACGAGGAGCUUGCUCCUCUGACGUUAGCGGCGGACGGGUGAGUAACACGUGGAUAACCUACCUAUAAGACUGGGAUAACUUCGGGAAACCGGAGCUAAUACCGGAUAAUAUAUUGAACCGCAUGGUUCAAUAGUGAAAGACGGUUUUGCUGUCACUUAUAGAUGGAUCCGCGCCGCAUUAGCUAGUUGGUAAGGUAACGGCUUACCAAGGCGACGAUGCGUAGCCGACCUGAGAGGGUGAUCGACCACACUGGAACUGAGACACGGUCCAGACUCCUGCGGGAGGCAGCAGUAGGGAAUCUUCCGCAAUGGGCGAAAGCCUGACGGAGCAACGCCGCGUGAGUGAUGAAGGUCUUCGGAUCGGAGAACUCUGUUAUUAGGGAAGAACAAAUGUGUAAGUAACUAUGCACGUCUUGACGGUACCUAAUCAGAAAGCCACGGCUAACUACGUG